GAUGAAGAACGUAGCGAAAUGCGAUAAGUAGUGUGAAUUGCAGAAUUCCGUGAAUCAUCGAAUCUUUGAACGCACAUUGCGCCUUCUGGUAUUCCGGAAGGCAUGCCUGUUCGAGAGUCAUUAACAACCGUUUCGAUCCCUUUCUUUCAGAAAUUACAAAGAGGAAAAGGGUUUGGUUAUGGUGGAGGAGGGAAAGGGAGCGUUUAGCCUGUAAAAAAAGAGGCUGUGUUCCGCCUCCCCCCCAAAAUUGUACAGGCGGUCGUGUGCGCCCACGCAUCGAGGUGUUGUAAAAGCUGCCACGGCAAUUUUCACCUGUGCAGUGCGAGAUUGGCCAGCCGGUUUAAAAACCCCUCCAAACAAUCAAAGGUUGACCUCGGAUCAGGUAGGGAUACCCGCUGAACUUAAGCAUAUCAAUAAGCGGAGGA
rnacentral:misc_RNA from 1 species